AACGCACGAGACCUGCGGACCUGCGGAGGGAUCAUUAAUGAGAAGCUGCCCCUCGUGGGUAGACCUCCCACCCUCUGUGAACUUACCUUUGUUGCUUUGGCAGGCCCGUCCUCUGGACCGCCGGCUUCGGCUGGCCCGUGCCUGCCAGAGGGUUCCAAACCCUGUCUGUCAGUGUUGUCUGAGUCUAUAUGAAAUCGUUAAAACUUUUAACAACGGAUCUCUAGAUCGGAAGAGCACACG
rnacentral:misc_RNA from 1 species